GGCGGAGAGUGUCCGCAGCAGCGGCGGCCCUUGUGAGGGGGCGGCGGUGAGGGCGACCCGGCCAUGAAAUAGGUUCCAGGCGACUUUACCGCAGGGGCGGGUCGCCUCGCGCCGGGGUCCGAGUCGAUGAGAGCGGCGAGUCCGCCUCCUGGAAGGCUGAGUCUUCGCCGGUGCUGUUGCCGCUGCUGCCGCCUUCCUCUUCCUCGUCCUCCUCCUCCUCUUCGCAGUCACUGUUGCCGCCCAGAAACAGCAGCUUCUGCCGAAUCGGGGCGGCCGCCCGCCGGGCCGAAACCCGCCGCGGCGGCGCCGCCUGUUGCAAGCUGAAGAAGCUCAUAGCGGCUCGCAGACGAGCCCCGCUCACGGCCGAACCACUGCCGCUGCGCUGCCCCCAAGUCUACUGGCUGCGAUACGCCCCUGGCUGGGACGGCGGCUCCGCACGGCGCUCCCCCUGAGCACGGCUCGCCUCGCGCUGUUCGGACUCCGCGGCUUUCCCGCGACCGUUAGUCACGUGGCACGCACGCCAGCCAAUGACGCCCACCCCCUGGGUUUGAAAACACGGCGGGCGGGGGCGGGCCCACACACGGGCGCGUCACGGGGCUCUUUGGCGCGAACGCCGCCGGCGGUGAGGGCGGAGGGGGCGGGGUCCGGCUCGCCUGGAGGCGGCUACACGCGCACGGGGCACCGGUGAGGCGCGGGCCCGGCGCCAUCUUAGCCCGCGGCAGGACCCCGCCCAGCGGCGGCAGCGCAGCCCGCUGACCGGCGGGUUGGGCCGGUACCGCCCGCGGUGCAGGCGUGCGACAGGCGGAGACGGCAGCAGACUGCCCUGCCCAGGACGCAACUGCUAGCCUCACGACAAGGUGGUUCCGUUCCCGCUUGGUUGGUUGGAGGAGUGCGCACAAGUCCUCGCUUCCUAGCCCCGGAGAAGAGUUAACAGUUCCUUUUCAGCCAGUUAAAGACGGCUUUUUGAGCUACAUUAAAAAUAAACACUUAGUAAAUAA